GGGUUGUGAGGUUAAGCGACUAAGCGUACACGGUGGAUGCCCUGGCAGUCAGAGGCGAUGAAGGACGUGCUAAUCUGCGAUAAGCGUCGGUAAGGUGAUAUGAACCGUUAUAACCGGCGAUUUCCGAAUGGGGAAACCCAGUGUGAUUCGUCACACUAUCAUUAACUGAAUCCAUAGGUUAAUGAGGCGAACCGGGGGAACUGAAACAUCUAAGUACCCCGAGGAAAAGAAAUCAACCGAGAUUCCCCCAGUAGCGGCGAGCGAACGGGGAGCAGCCCAGAGCCUGAAUCAGUGUGUGUGUUAGUGGAAGCGUCUGGAAAGGCGUGCGAUACAGGGUGACAGCCCCGUACACAAAAAUGCACAUGCUGUGAGCUCGAUGAGUAGGGCGGGACACGUGGUAUCCUGUCUGAAUAUGGGGGGACCAUCCUCCAAGGCUAAAUACUCCUGACUGACCGAUAGUGAACCAGUACCGUGAGGGAAAGGCGAAAAGAACCCCGGCGAGGGGAGUGAAAAAGAACCUGAAACCGUGUACGUACAAGCAGUGGGAGCACGCUUAGGCGUGUGACUGCGUACCUUUUGUAUAAUGGGUCAGCGACUUAUAUUCUGUAGCAAGGUUAACCGAAUAGGGGAGCCGAAGGGAAACCGAGUCUUAACUGGGCGUUAAGUUGCAGGGUAUAGACCCGAAACCCGGUGAUCUAGCCAUGGGCAGGUUGAAGGUUGGGUAACACUAACUGGAGGACCGAACCGACUAAUGUUGAAAAAUUAGCGGAUGACUUGUGGCUGGGGGUGAAAGGCCAAUCAAACCGGGAGAUAGCUGGUUCUCCCCGAAAGCUAUUUAGGUAGCGCCUCGUGAAUUCAUCUCCGGGGGUAGAGCACUGUUUCGGCAAGGGGGUCAUCCCGACUUACCAACCCGAUGCAAACUGCGAAUACCGGAGAAUGUUAUCACGGGAGACACACGGCGGGUGCUAACGUCCGUCGUGAAGAGGGAAACAACCCAGACCGCCAGCUAAGGUCCCAAAGUCAUGGUUAAGUGGGAAACGAUGUGGGAAGGCCCAGACAGCCAGGAUGUUGGCUUAGAAGCAGCCAUCAUUUAAAGAAAGCGUAAUAGCUCACUGGUCGAGUCGGCCUGCGCGGAAGAUGUAACGGGGCUAAACCAUGCACCGAAGCUGCGGCAGCGACGCUUAUGCGUUGUUGGGUAGGGGAGCGUUCUGUAAGCCUGCGAAGGUGUGCUGUGAGGCAUGCUGGAGGUAUCAGAAGUGCGAAUGCUGACAUAAGUAACGAUAAAGCGGGUGAAAAGCCCGCUCGCCGGAAGACCAAGGGUUCCUGUCCAACGUUAAUCGGGGCAGGGUGAGUCGACCCCUAAGGCGAGGCCGAAAGGCGUAGUCGAUGGGAAACAGGUUAAUAUUCCUGUACUUGGUGUUACUGCGAAGGGGGGACGGAGAAGGCUAUGUUGGCCGGGCGACGGUUGUCCCGGUUUAAGCGUGUAGGCUGGUUUUCCAGGCAAAUCCGGAAAAUCAAGGCUGAGGCGUGAUGACGAGGCACUACGGUGCUGAAGCAACAAAUGCCCUGCUUCCAGGAAAAGCCUCUAAGCAUCAGGUAACAUCAAAUCGUACCCCAAACCGACACAGGUGGUCAGGUAGAGAAUACCAAGGCGCUUGAGAGAACUCGGGUGAAGGAACUAGGCAAAAUGGUGCCGUAACUUCGGGAGAAGGCACGCUGAUAUGUAGGUGAAGUCCCUCGCGGAUGGAGCUGAAAUCAGUCGAAGAUACCAGCUGGCUGCAACUGUUUAUUAAAAACACAGCACUGUGCAAACACGAAAGUGGACGUAUACGGUGUGACGCCUGCCCGGUGCCGGAAGGUUAAUUGAUGGGGUCAGCGCAAGCGAAGCUCUUGAUCGAAGCCCCGGUAAACGGCGGCCGUAACUAUAACGGUCCUAAGGUAGCGAAAUUCCUUGUCGGGUAAGUUCCGACCUGCACGAAUGGCGUAAUGAUGGCCAGGCUGUCUCCACCCGAGACUCAGUGAAAUUGAACUCGCUGUGAAGAUGCAGUGUACCCGCGGCAAGACGGAAAGACCCCGUGAACCUUUACUAUAGCUUGACACUGAACAUUGAGCCUUGAUGUGUAGGAUAGGUGGGAGGCUUUGAAGUGUGGACGCCAGUCUGCAUGGAGCCGACCUUGAAAUACCACCCUUUAAUGUUUGAUGUUCUAACGUUGACCCGUAAUCCGGGUUGCGGACAGUGUCUGGUGGGUAGUUUGACUGGGGCGGUCUCCUCCUAAAGAGUAACGGAGGAGCACGAAGGUUGGCUAAUCCUGGUCGGACAUCAGGAGGUUAGUGCAAUGGCAUAAGCCAGCUUGACUGCGAGCGUGACGGCGCGAGCAGGUGCGAAAGCAGGUCAUAGUGAUCCGGUGGUUCUGAAUGGAAGGGCCAUCGCUCAACGGAUAAAAGGUACUCCGGGGAUAACAGGCUGAUACCGCCCAAGAGUUCAUAUCGACGGCGGUGUUUGGCACCUCGAUGUCGGCUCAUCACAUCCUGGGGCUGAAGUAGGUCCCAAGGGUAUGGCUGUUCGCCAUUUAAAGUGGUACGCGAGCUGGGUUUAGAACGUCGUGAGACAGUUCGGUCCCUAUCUGCCGUGGGCGCUGGAGAACUGAGGGGGGCUGCUCCUAGUACGAGAGGACCGGAGUGGACGCAUCACUGGUGUUCGGGUUGUCAUGCCAAUGGCACUGCCCGGUAGCUAAAUGCGGAAGAGAUAAGUGCUGAAAGCAUCUAAGCACGAAACUUGCCCCGAGAUGAGUUCUCCCUGACUCCUUGAGAGUCCUGAAGGAACGUUGAAGACGACGACGUUGAUAGGCCGGGUGUGUAAGCGCAGCGAUGCGUUGAGCUAACCGGUACUAAUGAACCGUGAGGCUUAACCUUACAACGCCGAAGGUGUUU
rnacentral:rRNA from 2 species